GUGUCCUGUGGUGGGGGAUAGCCCGGCGAAAGCCGGAUUAAUACCGCAUACGCUCUACGGAGGAGAGGGGGGGAUCUUAUGACCUCUCGCUACAGGGGCGGCCGAUGGCUCAUUAUCUAUUUGGUGGGGUAAAGGCCUACCACGGCGACAAUAUGUAUCUGGUCUGAGAGGACAACAACCCACACUGGGACUGAGACACGGCCCACACUCCUACAGGAGGCGCCACUGGGGAAUUUUGUACAAUGGGGGCAAGCCUGAUCCAGCACUGCGGCGUGUGUGAGAAAAGCCUUCGGGUUGUGUAGCACUUUUGUCUGGAGAGAAAACUUCUGUGUUAAUACCCCGGGGGGAUGACAGUGCCGGAAAAAUAUACACCGGCUAACUACAUGUCCCCACCCGCGGUAAUACAUAUGGUGCGCGCGUUAAUCUCAAUUACAGGGCGUAUAGCGUGCGCACGCGGUUUUCUAUAACAGAUGUGAAAUCCCCGGGCUCAUCCUGUGAACUGCAUUUGUGACUGUGGGGCUAUAGUAUGUCAGAGAGGGGUAUAAUUCUACGUGUAUCACUGAGAUGCGUAUAGAU
rnacentral:rRNA from 1 species